CAUCCCAUAGCUGACGUUCUUAUUACAGGAGAGGAAACUGAGGCUGGAUGGGGCUUGAGAAAAGUGCUACACAAGGAAGCGGCGGACUUUGGAGGCAGAAGUUUCACUUUAUGACGAUGCCAAGUUAGCCAUUGGCCUUUGCAGUGCCUGAAAUGACCGAGUUAGGCAAGGCUUACACUGGGAAAAUUAUUCCCACCGAUCAGCAAGCAAUUAUUGAGGAUUUACAGUUGCAGUGCUAUCAGGGGCUGCAGAUGCCCACGGGAAAAGAGACCAGAGCUGAGUCACACAGAAGAGUCCACGAGAGAAGACAGCUCCUCAGCAUCUCACUAAUGCAUU
rnacentral:lncRNA from 1 species